rfam:Oryza glumipatula chromosome 1, whole genome shotgun sequence.
AAUAAAUAAACCGUGGGUUUCCGUACCAAUGUUUGACUGUCCAUUUUAUAUGAAAUUUUUUUAUAAUUAGUAUUUUCAUUGUUGUUAGAUGAUAAAACAUAAUUAAUACUUUAUGCAUGACUUAUCUUUUUAAUUUUUUCAUAAUUUUUUCAAAUAAGACGGACGGUCAAACAUUGGACACGGAAAUCAGAGUUUUUCUUUUU